rnacentral:tRNA from 1 species
GGGAAGGUGGCUCAGUGGUAGAGUGCUUGCCUUGCAUGCAUGAGGCCCUAAGUUCGAUUCCUCAGUACCA